UACGUAGGGUGCGAGCGUUGUCCGGAAUUACUGGGCGUAAAGAGCUCGUAGGUGGUUUGUCGCGUCGUCUGUGAAAUUCCGGGGCUUAACCUCGGGCGUGCAGGCGAUACGGGCAAUACUUGAGUGCUGUAGGGGAGACCGGAAUUCCUGGUGUAGCGGUGAAAUGCGCAGAUAUCAGGAGGAACACCGAUGGCGAAGGCAGGUCUCUGGGCAGUAACUGACGCUGAGGAGCGAAAGCAUGGGUAGCGAACAGGAUUAGAUA
rnacentral:rRNA from 1 species